AUUGAACGCUGGCGGCAGGCCUAACACAUGCAAGUCGAGCGAGCGGCGGACGGGUGAGGAAUGUAUGGGGACUGCCCGCUAGAGGGGGAUAACUACUGGACACGGUAGCUCAUACCGCAUACUAUCGGAUAACCCAUAUGGGAUUAGCUCGUAGGUGAGGUAAUGGCUCACGUUGGCGACGAUCCCUAGCUGGUCUGAGAGGAUGAUCAGCCACACUGGUACUGAGACACGGCCCAGAAUCCUACGGAGGCAGCAGUGGGGAAUAUUGCACAAGGGGCGCAAGCCUGAGGCAGCAAUGCCGCGUGUAUGAAGAAGGCCCUAGGGUUGUAAAGUACUUUCAGUCGUGAGGCGUUACCGACAGAAGAAGCACCGGCUAACUCCGUGCCAGCAGCCGCGGUAAUUC
rnacentral:rRNA from 1 species